CCUACGGGAGGCAGCAGUGGGGAAUUUUGGACAAUGGGCGCAAGCCUGAUCCAGCAAUGCCGCGUGAGUGAAGAAGGCCUUCGGGUUGUAAAGCUCUUUUGUCAGGGAAGAAACGGUGGUUCCUAAUAUGGACUACUAAUGACGGUACCUGAAGAAUAAGCACCGGCUAACUACGUGCCAGCAGCCGCGGUAAUACGUAGGGUGCAAGCGUUAAUCGGAAUUACUGGGCGUAAAGCGUGCGCAGGCGGUUAUAUAAGUCAGAUGUGAAAUCCCCGGGCUCAACCUGGGAACUGCAUUUGAGACUGUAUGGCUAGAGUGUGUCAGAGGGGGGUAGAAUUCCACGUGUAGCAGUGAAAUGCGUAGAUAUGUGGAGGAAUACCGAUGGCGAAGGCAGCCCCCUGGGAUAACACUGACGCUCAUGCACGAAAGCGUGGGGAGCAAACAGGAUUAGAUACCCUGGUAGUCCACGCCCUAAACGAUGUCUACUAGUUGUCGGGACUUAAUUGUCUUGGUAACGCAGCUAACGCGUGAAGUAGACCGCCUGGGGAGUACGGGUACGCAAGAUUAAAAACGUUAAAUAGAAUUGACGG
rnacentral:rRNA from 1 species